AGCCGUCGUAGACCACGACGUUGAUAGGCUGGAUGUGGAAGUGCGGUAACGCAUGGAGCUAACCAGUCCUAAUUGCUCUUAUCGCGCUU
rnacentral:rRNA from 1 species